rnacentral:tRNA from 1 species
AUGGGUGUAGUUCAGUUGGUAGAACGCUGCAUUUGGGAUGCAGAGGCUCGCAGGUUCAAGUCCUGUCACCCAUA